UCUUUUAGGUUACAAAGUCAGUCUCACUGAUACACAUCCUACUCAAGUGUUAUUGAAGAAUGCCAGUGACAUAAAAUAGAUAGUUACAAUAAAGGAACCACUAGAACAAGGUGAUCACAGACUUCACAUGUUCUCAAGAUAAAAAGGCUGGUGUGGUAACAAUGACAGAAAACACAGGUGGCAACGUUAUAGCUGAUCCUGGAUGGUUGGACUGGUCCUACACUGGAGUUGAUUUUGAACUGGCUGGAAAUGGUGGGGAUCAAUGCCAAACUUUUUUAUCAGUUCAGCAGCGAAUUAUUGAAAGUGUUUUUACAACAAUUGUGUCUGGGAUUGUAGUAGUCAUAGCUGUUCUCCAUCUAACUUUACCAAAUGUUCCACUCAAAUCUGAUAGGGAUUACUGUGGGAAGAGAAUAUUAUUAGUGGUUAUGUGUACAACAUUUGGAAUAGAACUUGGAUUUAAACUCGCCACACGUCAGAUGAUUUAUAUACUGAAUCCCUGUCAUAUUGCUACAAUGAUGCAGAUAUUUUGUCUAGCAGCACCUCCAAGUAAACUUGUGACAGCAGUAUUCAGAAUUCAUCUGCACAUGUUAUCAGGGGCACCUAUAGCUAUAUUAUUUCCAGUUGUAAAUACACGUUUGCUACCAUUUGAAAUUGAAGUAUAUUACAUACAACAUAUACUGAUGCUCAUUAUACCGUUAUAUCUUAUAAUCAAAGGCGGUGUUUAUAACCCAGAGCCAAUGUGGGACUUAAGUUGGGCAGCUGUGUCUGUGGGCGGUACCUACAUAUACCAUUUUAUAACUCUACAGUACAUAGGAUUUGUAUUUAAGGUGAAUUUAAACAACAUGCUGUGUCCUGCUAUAUCGGACCCAUUCUAUGGACCUUAUUAUAGGCUGUGUGCGUUAUUUCAUCAAACCUUGGUCCUUCCUUUCCUAGCCAAAUUUAUGUACUGGAUAUGUAAAAAAGCUUCUCCGCUCACUGUGUGUGAUUUAGAAGAAACGAAAGUUAUUGACAUCAUGAAAGAUUGUUUUUCAGGAAGUAAAAGCUCAAGACAGGAAGCUAACAAUCAGGGUCAGGCAGGCGUUACAUUAGAAGCUAAAAAGCACACAAUUUUAAAACAUCGAAAUGGUUCAGGUGAUCCUACAGAAAAAAAUGGAGUACUUAUAAAUCACACAAGACAACCUAGCAAUGGACAUUUAAAAACUUCCUGAUGCAAGUUCACAGUUUCAUUUUUGAGAUUAUUUGUAACUCAAUAUUUAUAUGCACAGGAAUAAUGUAAAUUUUUUUUAAAUGAUGUUUUAUAGAUAAAUGUUACUUAGUUAAUUCCUGUUGUAUUAAUUGAUGUUUUUAAGUAUGCAUUUCUACUAAGAAAACUGUGGUUCUAACAUAAAGCUAAACACCAAUAUGACUUCAAGUUUUUCCUAUUGAAUUAGUUAGGAUUGAUGAUUGAUAUAUAUGUUUGAGUUUAGUUUUAAAAAUAAAGUUCAAAUAAAGAAAAAUGUUCAGAAACAAAAAUUAUCACAGUCCUACUUUUAGUAAAUUUUCAUUUCUCAUCAACGUUAACAACAUAUACCUGAUUUUCACAUCCUUAUCAAUAUUAGAGCUAGAAUCAAACUUUCUGUUAUAACAAACUUUCAUCCAUUAAAAAAUACUUUUGUUAUCAGUAUGUCAUGACAACCUAAGAUUAACAGUAUGUCAUGACAAGCUUUGGUUAUCACUUUGUCAUGUCAACCUAAGGUUAUCAGUAUGUCAUGUCAAGCUGAGAUUAUCAGUAUGCCAUGACAAGCUUUGGUUAUCAGUAUGUCAUGACAGCCUUAUGUUAUCAGUAUGUCAUGACAGCCUUAUGUUAUCAGUAUGUCAUAACAAUCAUAGGUUAACAAUAUGUCAUGACAACCUUGAGUUAACAGUAUGUCAUGACACCCUAAGUUUAUCAGUAUAUCAUGACAGAGGGUGUGGAUGGGGGGUUUACAGAAUAGAGAAUAAUGGGCAAAAAAUAUAAAGAAUAGAGAAAAAUGGACCAAAAAUAUAAAGAAUAGAGAAUAAUGAGGUGCUAAAAUAUGAAGAAUAGAGAAAAAUGGCCUAAAAAUGGCCUAAAAAUUAACGAAUACAGAAAUGAAGGACCCUUCAUCCAAACCCUCAUGACAAGCUUAGGUUAAUAGAAUGUCAUGUGAAACUUAGGUUAUCAGUAUGUCAUGACAAGCUUAGGUUAUGAGUAUGUCAUGGCAGCUUUAGAUUAUCAGUAUUUCAUAUCAAUCUAAGGUUAUUAGUAUGUCAUGACAAGCUUAGGUUAUCAAUAUGUCAUGACAAGCUUAGGUUAUUAGUAUGUCAUUACAACCUUAUGU